CUUUGUGUUUUGGGCUAUCCAAGAUUGUUAGAGCAAUUUUUCUAUCCAAACUGGGUUCAGAAGUCAUGACUGAAACUAGACUGGGUCCAGGAUUUGACUGAAUCUGAUAAUUGACUGGCGUGGAUCCAGAUAGAGUCCUUGGAUAUCUGACUGGGUUGCAGACAGAAAUUGGAAGCAAUGGCAGUACUGCAGGAGGUAGGGAAAAAAGUCAUUGACUAAGUUGAUCAAGGGAAUCCAAAAGCCAAAGCCAAGAUUCAAUGUAAAAUGAGUUUCUUAGUUUCUGGAAAACUGCAUACUCCAUCUUCUGGCUACAUCUACCUACAUACGAAAUGUCUUCCAAGAGACAGAAUUAUACCUUAUCAAUCUGAAUAUGAGAUCGUGUAUUUGAAAUUCUCUAAGAGUAUUUGGUUCCUGGCAAAGUUGCAUGAAAACAGAACCAACUUUGGAACGACAGAACCAACAAGUCUGUAGGCAGACUUGGAUGUAACUUCCAUGUCAGGUGAGGAGCUGAGGAGCUUGAGCAAGAUCAUGCAGCUGGUGAAAGAGUCAGAGCUGGUGUCUCCAACAGAUCUUCCAGAGCCAAGAAUCUAGCACCCUGUUUUCUAUACAAUGGCCAAUUCCAUCGAAAUCCUCAUUACAGGAUUUUCACUCUCCAGAGCAGGGUCUUCAGCAAGCCCAUUACUUAAGAACAUUCUGGUUCCUGAAGGGCCACUACUCAUUCAAUAACAAAGUUCAGAAUAAACAAAUCCAGAGAAUAACA
rnacentral:lncRNA from 13 species